rnacentral:rRNA from 1 species
CAAUAGCGUAUAUUAAAGUUGUUGCAGUUAAAAAGCUCGUAGUUGGAUUUCUGGUGGGAGCGAUCGGUCUGGCGCUUAGCGCGAGUACUUGCAUCGUCUCCGGCCAUCCUUGGGGAGAGUCUGUCUGGCAUUAGGUUGUCGGGCAGAGGAUCCUCAUCGUUUACUGUGAAAAAAUUAGAGUGUUCAAAGCAGGCUUAUGCCGUUGAAUAUAUUAGCAUGGAAUAAUAAGAUAGGACUUUGGUACUAUUUUGUUGGUCUGUAGGACCGGAGUAAUGAUUAAGAGGGACAGUCGGGGGCAUUCGUAUUUCAUUGUCAGAGGUGAAAUUCUUGGAUUUAUGAAAGACGAACUACUGCGAAAGCAUUUGCCAAGGAUGUUUUCAUUAA